rnacentral:rRNA from 1 species
UACGGGGGGGGCGAGCGUUGUUCGGAAUCACUGGGCGUAAAGGGCGCGUAGGCGGCCCGCACAAGCCUGCGGUGAAAACCCCCGGCUUAACCGGGGGCCGGCCGUGGAAACUGUCGGGCUGGAGGCUGGGAGAGGGCAGCGGAAUUCCCGGUGUAGCGGUGAAAUGCGUAGAGAUCGGGAGGAACACCGGCGGCGAAGGCGGCUGCCUGGACCAGUCCUGACGCUGAGGCGCGAAAGCUAGGGGAGCAAACAGG